rnacentral:rRNA from 1 species
CGAAAGUCGACGUAUAGGGUGUGACGCCUGCCCGGUGCUGGAAGAUUAAAUGAUGGGGUGCAAGCUCUUGACUGAAGUCCCAGUAAACGGCGGCCGUAACUAUAACGGUCCUAAGGUAGCGAAAUUCCUUGUCGGGUAAGUUCCGACCUGCACGAAUGGCGUAACGACUUCCCCGCUGUCUCCAACAUAGACUCAGCGAAAUUGAAUUACCGGUCAAGAUGCCGGUUACCCGCGGUUAGACGGAAAGACCCCGUGCACCUUUACUACAGCUUCGCACUGGCAUCAGGAUUGUGAUGUGCAGGAUAGGUGGUAGGCUUUGAAGCAGGAACGCUAGUUUCUGUGGAGCCAUCCUUGAGAUACCACCCUUCGCAUUCUUGUUAUCUAACCGCGGUCCGUUAUCCGGAUCCGGGACCAUGCGUGGUGGGUAGUUUGACUGG